rnacentral:rRNA from 1 species
UACGAAGGGGCUAGCGUUGUUCGGAAUCACUGGCGUAAAGCGCACGUAGGCGGACUUUAAGUCAGGGUGAAUCCCGGGCUCAACCCGGAACUGCCUUUGAUACUGGAAGUCUUGAGUCCGAGAGAGGUGAGUGGAACUCCGAGUGUAGAGGUGAAAUUCGUAGAUAUUCGGAAGAACACCAGUGGCGAAGGCGGCUCACUGGCUCGGUACUGACGCUGAGGUGCGAAAGCGUGGGGAGCAAACAGGAUUAGAUACCCUGUAGUCC